GAUGAACGCUGGCGGCGUGCCUAAUACAUGCAAGUCGAGCGAACAGACGAGGAGCUUGCUCCUCUGACGUUAGCGGCGGACGGGUGAGUAACACGUGGAUAACCUACCUAUAAGACUGGGAUAACUUCGGGAAACCGGAGCUAAUACCGGAUAAUAUAUUGAACCGCAUGGUUCAAUAGUGAAAGACGGUUUUGCUGUCACUUAUAGAUGGAUCCGCGCCGCAUUAGCUAGUUGGUAAGGUAACGGCUUACCAAGGCAACGAUGCGUAGCCGACCUGAGAGGGUGAUCGGCCACACUGGAACUGAGACACGGUCCAGACUCCUACGGGAGGCAGCAGUAGGGAAUCUUCCGCAAUGGGCGAAAGCCUGACGGAGCAACGCCGCGUGAGUGAUGAAGGUCUUCGGAUCGUAAAACCCUGUUAUUAGGGAAGACCAAAUGUGUAAGUAACUAUGCACGUCUUGACGGUACCUAAUCAGAAAGCCACGGCUAACUACGUG
rnacentral:rRNA from 1 species